GUGCCAGCAGCCGCGGUAAUUCCAGUUCCAAGUAGCGUAUAUUAAAGUUGUUGUGGUUAAAAAGCUCGUAGUUGAACCUUGGGCCUGGCUGGCCGGUCCGCCUCACCGCGUGCACUGGUCCGGCCGGGCCUUUCCCUCUGUGGAACCCCAUACCCUUCACUGGGCGUGGCGGGGAAACAGGACAUUUACUUUGAAAAAAUUAGAGUGCUCCAGGCAGGCCUAUGCUCGAAUACAUUAGCAUGGAAUAAUAAAAUAGGACGCGCGGUUCUAUUUUGUUGGUUUAUAGGACCGCCGUAAUGAUUAAUAGGGACAGUCGGGGGCAUCAGUAUUCAACUGUCAGAGGUGAAAUUCUUGGAUCAGUUGAAGACUAACUACUGCGAAAGCAUUUGCCAAGGAUGUUUUCAUUAAUCAGGAACGAAAGUUAGGGGAUCGAAGACGAUCAGAUACCGUCGUAGUCUUAACCAUAAACUAUGCCGACUAGGGAUCGGACGGUGUUAUUCAUGACCCGUUCGGCACCUUACGAGAAAUCAAAGUGCUUGGGCUCCAGGGGGAGUAUGGUCGCAAGGCUGAAACUUAAAGAAAUUGACGGAAGGGCACCACCAGGGGUGGAGCCUGCGGCUUAAUUUGACUCAACACGGGGAAACUCACCAGGUCCAGACACAAUAAGGAUUGACAGAUUGAGAGCUCUUUCUUGAUUUUGUGGUGGUGGUGCAUGGACCGUUCUUAGUGGUGGGGUGACUUGUCUGCUUAAUUGCGAUAACGACGAGACCUUACCUGCUAAAUAGCCCGCAUUGCUCCGGCAGUGCGCUGGCUUCUUAGAGGGACUUUCGGCUCAAGCCGAAGGAAGGUUGAAG
rnacentral:rRNA from 1 species